UCACCCCUCAAGCCCUGGCUUGGUGUUGGAUCAGGUCGUGUGAGCGACCGGUCCCAAAGACAAUGACGGCGUCCGUGGGACCCUCGGUGCAAUGAGCUUUCACGAGCACGCACCCGAGUUGCAAGGUCCUGCAGCCCGGCUUCCUUUUAUAUUUAUCUAA
rnacentral:misc_RNA from 1 species